AUCUGCUGUUACAGUAUCCUAAAGAUACCACAUCCCAUCUGAUCUUGGAAGCUAAAUAGGGUCAGCUCUGGUUAGUAUUUUGAUGGGAAUACCAAAUGCUGUAAGCU
rnacentral:rRNA from 1 species